rnacentral:rRNA from 1 species
UACGUAGGGUGCAAGCGUUAAUCGGAAUUACUGGGCGUAAAGCGUGCGCAGGCGGUUAUGUAAGACAGGUGUGAAAUCCCAGGGCUUAACCUUGGAACUGCAUUUGUGACUGCAUAGCUAGAGUACGGUAGAGGGGGAUGGAAUUCCGCGUGUAGCAGCGAAAUGCGUAGAUAUGCGGAGGAACACCGAUGGCGAAGGCAAUCCCCUGGACCUGUACUGACGCUCAUGCACGAAAGCGUGGGGAGCAAACAGG